AUGAUUCUAAAUUGUACUUUUAUUUUAAUGGUGCAUUGAAGAUGUUGACGAUGAAAGAGAUGUAAUUAUUAUCAGACAAAGAAAUAAGAUAUGUCUUUUAGAAAAAAAGUUUGAAAGUCUCCACAUAAAGGAUUCUAGGGAUAUGUUUUCUUUAUCUAAUUAACAUAAUUAUGUUCUUAAUUUUGACCUAAUUUCAAAAUUAGAAAGAAAUGAAUAUGUCUCUAUCUCUCUCAGAAUUAAAUAUGAUGCCUUUAAGUUUUUUUUUUUCAAUAAAUGACUAUUUC
rnacentral:lncRNA from 1 species